GGAAUCUUGCUGUGUUGCCCAGGCUGGAGUGCAGCAGCUGUUCACAGACGAGGUGGUAGCACAGGGAAGCCUUGAACCGGACUCAAGAGAUCCUCCUGCCUCAGCCUCCAGAGUAGCUGGGACUACAGGCACGCACUACUGCGUCUGCCUUAGAGCAUGUGUUAAGAAGACGAGACGAGGUCUUGCAAAGUUGCCCCGGCUGGUCUUGGAUUUCUAGCCUCAAGUGAUCCUCCCGCUUC
rnacentral:lncRNA from 1 species